GUCAGGUGCGGUGGUGCACACCUGCAAUCCCAGCUGCUUGGGAGGCUGAGGCAGGAGGAUGGCAAAUUCCUGGCCAGCCUGGGCAACUUAGUGAGACCCUGUCUCAA
rnacentral:sRNA from 1 species